rnacentral:rRNA from 1 species
UACGUAGGGUCCGAGCGUUGUCCGGAAUUAUUGGGCGUAAAGAGCUCGUAGGCGGUUUGUCGCGUCUGCUGUGAAAUCCCGAGGCUCAACCUCGGGCCUGCAGUGGGUACGGGCGGACUGGAGUGCGGUAGGGGAGAAUGGAAUUCCUGGUGUAGCGGUGGAAUGCGCAGAUAUCAGGAGGAACACCGAUGGCGAAGGCAGUUCUCUGGGCCGUAACUGACGCUGAGGAGCGAAAGCGUGGGGAGCGAACAGG